rnacentral:rRNA from 1 species
GGAAUAUUGCACAAUGGGGGAAACCCUGAUGCAGCAAUGCCGCGUGGGUGAAGAAGGCCUUCGGGUUGUAAAGCCCUUUUCUGAGAGAAGAGAGAGGACGGUAUCUCAGGAAAAAGUCCCGGCUCACUACGUGCCAGCAGCCGCGGUAAAACGUAGGGGGCAAGCGUUAUCCGGAUUUACUGGGCGUAAAGCGCACGCAGGCGGUUUAGUAAGUUAGUUGUGAAAGCUCCCGGCUCAACUGGGAGAGUGCGACUGAUACUGCUAGACUUGAGAAAGGUAGAGGAGAGCAGAAUUCCUGGUGUAGUGGUGGAAUGCGUAGAUAUCAGGAGGAAUACCAGUGGCGAAAGCGGCUCUCUGGGCCAAAUCUGACGCUCAGGUGCGAAAGCAUGGGGAGCAAAC